rnacentral:tRNA from 1 species
GUUUGUAUAGCUUAGUGGUACAGUGCAUGCUUAGCAUGCACGAGGUCCUGGGUUCAAUCCCCAGUGCCUCCA